rnacentral:lncRNA from 1 species
GAUGCGGUGGGGUGUGGCGGGGCCUGCCCCCUGCCGGAAGAAGUUUGGGUGCAGCCCAGUAUUCAAGCUCCAGGACAAAGGGGGCGGGGAGGCCGCCACUAGCAAACAACCUCAGCUUCAUAAAUCCAGCAGAAAGGUCCGGGGUAUUGUUGAAAAGGUCGGAAGGACCAAGAUUAUGUCCGCCAGCCUAAGUGGGACGAACAACCAAGUUGUGCGAUGCAGCUUUAAAGGGGCUGGUGAUUGACAGAAUGGUGUAGUAGUAGAUGGGGUGGAGCCGCUGGGUGGGGUCGAGACUGGCAGCUGAGAGAUACCAAAAGGAAGAAAAAAGAAAACCAUUGCUCUUGAUAUUGCUAAUGCCGGGGGAGGUAAGCUAACGAGAAAGUAGGGAAAAGGAAGGUUUUAGAGUUCACCUCCACUCCUUCCCCUGGCUAACACUCUUUACACUCUUCUGCCUUCCCUUGAGAUAAUUAAAAUAGACUGUACACCGGCCCUAGUCGGUGCCCAUUCCCCCUAACUCUUCACUCAACUACGUGUGUAGUCCGAGGGAGUGAGGACCCCGGGUCCAAGAGCUCAAUCCCGGCCCCGCCCCGUCGGCCCAGGCCCCGGGGCUGGGAGGAGAGGAUGCCUUCGGAGGCGCAGAAUCCGAAAGUAUCUAAUUGUCUUUUUUCGCUGAGCAUACCAAAGAGAGUAACAAGUACAAAGUACUUGAUGUUUAAAGGAAUGCAGAAUAUCCAAUGCUACAAAAGGAACAAUGUAUCUGGAAUAAAAUGAGUGAAGGGGAUAGUGAUACAAGGAGAAGUUGAAAAGAGAUGUGGUUGGAGCUGGAAGCUGUUAUCCUCAGCAAACUAAUGCAGGAGGAGAAAACCAAAUACUGCAAGUUCUCACUUAUAAGUGGGAACUGAAUGAUGAGAACAUUUGGACAUGGUAAGGGGAGGACAACAUGCAGUGGGGCCUGUUGGGGAGUAUGGCAGGAGGGAAAGCAUCAGGAAAUUCACUAAUAGAUGCUGGGCUUAAUAACUUGAUGAUGGGAUGAUCUGUGCAGCAAACCACCAUGGCACAUGUUUACUAAUGUAACAAACCUGCACAUUCAGCACAUGUACCCCUGAACUUAAAAUAAAGCAAAAUAAAAAUAAAAAUAUAAUUUUUCCCCAUUCAA